rnacentral:misc_RNA from 1 species
GAUGAAGAACGUAGCGAAAUGCGAUACGUAAUGUGAAUUGCAGAAUUCAGUGAAUCAUCGAGUCUUUGAACGCACAUUGCGCCCUCUGGUAUUCCGGAGGGCAUGCCUGUCCGAGCGUCAUUGCUGCCCUCAAGCACGGCUUGUGUGUUGGGCCCCGCCCCCCGAUCCCGGGGGGCGGGCCCGAAAGGCAGCGGCGGCACCGCGUCCGGUCCUCGAGCGUAUGGGGCUUUGUCACCCGCUCUGUAGGCCCGGCCGGCGCCUGCCGAUCAACCAAACUUUUUUCCAGGUUGACCUCGGAUCAGGUAGGGAUACCCGCUGAACUUAAGCAUAUCAUAAGCGGAGGA